CAAAUUUACAAUCCCUUAAAACCGCGCUCUUUAAAUCCUCCAAACACACAUCACCGGCGCACAAUACAAUUCUUCCCAUUUUUGUCUCAUCAUUCACCACUGCAUUUCUCACGCUCCACCACUCACACCCUCCUUUUUUUGAAACCUCACACGCCACCAUCUCUUCUGGUUCUGACGGAUUAUGAACAAACAACAAGUCUCCUAUAGAAAUCAACUUAAUCGUAUUCAACAAUUCACUUUUGUUGCCUCGUAGUUUCUUCACCAUUUUGCUCGGCAUCACACCUAAUUUCUCCAUUUUUAACCAUAAUCCUAAUUUCUCUUUCACUUCCCACACUUUCACUCCUUUCAUGUUUUCUGCGUUACCUACUAUUCCCACAACCACCAAACGAUUCUUCAAUGUUCCCGUCUCGUAGUGAAAUACGCUCUCUUCUCCUCGUAGAUCAUAAGGUCCUUGCCACGUCAUCAUUUUACAAUCAAAUGAGUACAUUGUGCCUGAGUUUUUCUCCAUCACGUGCAUAAACUCACCGGCAACGGCAACAGAGAGCCACAUCGACGCUGUGGUAUCCUUCAUCAUCUCCGGCAUUGAUUCACACCGAAUCCAAUCACGAGACUCCAUGUCGUAGAUCUCCACUGCUAAAGGAUCGUCCUCAAAGUCACAUACCCCACCAGCAACAACGAUGCACUUUCCCACACGUGCAACAAUGGGAUCCACACGCCAAACACGUGGUGAUGGCACGUGGUUCCACGUAAGGUGGAGCGGAUCAAAGGAGAAGGAAAAUUCAGUUGGAGAAAGUGUGUAAAGGAGCGUGGAGUGUGAUGACCGUAAAGCUGGGGUGUGAUUAAUUUGUGGCGCGUGAAUUUGGAUCCACGUUAAAGAGCGUGGGUCAUAGGCAUAUGUUGUGGUCACGUGGGGAGCUCGGGGGUUUUGAGUGUGAACCGUGAGCCACGGCUUCACGGGGUUGACAUGGCGGAGGGAGCUCAAUACUGCAUGGUUCCAUUGCUUUGACACGUAACUGGCUGGCACCAAGUAAAUGAGUGGCACGUACGAAAGUGUGGCCUCUAAGAUAUCUCCAUGGAUGGGAGCUUCUACUUCUUUUUCCUGAAUUUUCUUUGUUGCCAUUAUACAAUUGUUAUGUAUUGAGUUGGCUUUUUCCCCUCUUUUAUUCUAAGUAAAGCAAAAUUUAUGUAUAACGAGUAGUGAGGUAAUGUGCAGGAAUGGCUGCAUCUUAAGGGAUUUAUAUAGGAGGUGGGAACCGAAUUGGAAGGGAUAGCAUACCUAGAACAAAACUUUAUCUCCAUAUAUAGAAUGCCAUUUGUCCUAUUAUUUAAUGCUGC
rnacentral:lncRNA from 1 species